UCCCUGAUAGCACAGUUGGUAGAGCAUGCGACUCUUAAUCUCAGGGUUGUGGGUUUGAGCCCCAUGUUGGGCA
rnacentral:tRNA from 1 species